rnacentral:tRNA from 1 species
GCUGGGGAAAUAGCCCAGUGGUAGAGCACUUGCCUAGCAUGCAUGAGACCCUAGGCUCAAUCCCAAGCAGUG